CCCGAAUACGUGUUCCAGGGGAACUUCCGGAAUUGAAUAAGGGUCAAAACGGGGCUGUUCCCCUUGCGGCACCUCUCAGUUCGGAUUGUUCUCUGCAACUCGGGAACAUGAAGUUGAAAUCGCUAGUAAUCGCGGAUCAGCAUGCCGCGGUGAAUAUGUACCCGGG
rfam:Oryza sativa Japonica Group DNA, chromosome 12, cultivar: Nipponbare, complete sequence.